UUAGUCAUGAAAGCGUUUUUUCAGUAUUAAUAAUUGGGAAAUCGUUGUCAUGACUGAGC
rnacentral:pre_miRNA from 1 species